GACUUACUCGACUGCCUGCGCAUGCGCGACUUCGUAAGGCAACUCUAAAAGAAAAACAUCGAAAAGAGGGAAAACAGACCACAUCAGCAACCUCUCUCUGUUUCACAAGGGCUAGCAUACAAGAGCUUCAGGCACUCGUGGUACGACGCGUAUGCUUUUACAGGGACCACACACACAAACCGCUGCCUAUCUCUACCCCUCCGCCCCAACUUCUCGUUUCUUUCUCUGUCGUGUCUGCGUGUUUCGUUCCGCGCGCCUCGCCUCCGCUGUUUUCGCGUCUGUGUUCAACAGCACGUGUGUACAAGAGCACGCAAGCAGAACACGUCAACUUGCAUCUUCUCUUGUGGGUAAGUCAAUACAGCCGACGCGCCCCCUCGCCCUCUCCCUUUGCCCGCUCUUGUUUUCCUGUCAGUGUGUUUGCUUGUGUGUGUGUGUGUGUGUGUGUGCUUUCUUCCACGCCCACACUGUGACGCAUGUCCGCUUGUGUGUGUGCGUGAUUUCUCUUUUAGCUGUUCGUCGUUGCUCACCGUAGAGCACGCUUCACUUGGCACUGUCCGCCACACUGGGCCUCCGUCUGACGUGUAAGAUCAUAUACAGGCGCGUCUACUGGUCUGCAUCCGGCGGUACAGCCCAUUAAAGCUCGUUUUCUCCCUCCACUGGAAACUCACCUUCUCUCUCUCUCACGCAACAUUUCUUUCUUUUUCGCUUGAGAAUGACCGAAAAGCCCGCGAAGGAGCCGCCGCUGCCGCGAGACUUGAAGGCGCAGUUUGACGUGCUCGCUGGCACUCGGUGGGACAGCGUUGGCGACGAUGCUGACGCCGCCGAACACCUCUCGCAGCUCCGCCACGACUGGAAGACGCUGGGCAAUGCUUGCUACGGCAAAGGGUACUUUUUGGCCGCAAUCCGGUGCUACUCGCGGCUGCUGGAAGUGCCCGGCGGCGACACGGCACAGAUCCGCAGCAAUCGCAGCGCCGCUUACUUGCAGUCGCCCAUGCUGGUAGGUCCUUCGUUGGCGCUCAAGGACGCCGAGAAGGCCGUGGAGCUGGAGCCGAAGUGGUUCAAGGCCCACCUCCGCGUCGGCGACGCGCAUCGGAAGCGCGGCCACUUCGCCGAGGCAGAGGCUGCGUACCGUGAGGCGUUGGCCCUGCAGCCGGAGUGCGCCACCGCGCUAGCGGGGCUUCGUGCUCUGCAGGUAGAGUCAGCGGAUUUGCCUGCAGCAGCGGCCACAUUUCCGCGCGGUCACGCGGAGCGCGCGCCGUACCACAAUGCGUCGCCGUCACCGAAGCCGAUUUCGUCCAGAACUACCGCCCACGCGGCUGCAGCGGCGCAAGCGAAGGAAGAGGAGCUGCAGCUGACACAGGAGCAGCUCGUUCACAAGUGGAAGGCGGACAUCAGCACACGUGAGGGUCGAACGGGCUGUCGACCGCGACAGGCGUCGCUCUCGCAAGCCGACAGGCAGCAGGGUGCCGCCGUUAAGCAGGCGUUGCUGGCUCGCUUCCGCGCUAAGCUCGAGUCCAACGGUGAGUUCAGCGCAACCCUUCGCGAUCGGUGCGAGGAGGCCAUGCUGCGCGGCGAGGGGGUCAACUACCGCGAUGCAGACAAACUCCGCAACACCUACUCACACGCCACGAACGGCAUCGGGCUGGGCAUCUCAUCCGACGCAUACAAGGAGUACACAGGGCGUGUGGAUCACCGCAUGUGGUGAUGGAGCAACACAUACACAGAGAGCUGAGGGAGAGUAAGGAGGAGAGGUAGAUGUAUGGGGAGAGGCUGCGCAACAGGAAAAGCGUCGAGACACGAUCUUCUCGUACAUACGCACACAAGCAAAAAAAAAAGAGAACACUCGAUCUGCACACCCAUCCUCAUCCCCCCUCCCUCCCUCUUCCUCUCGCUCUCCUCCUCCCUCUUCGUGGGUGAGUGUGUGUGGAUCGGCCGUGAUGAGUGCGGGGAUCUUCUUUCUUUUCUUACUGUUAUUUUCGCUCGACCACGGAGGUGUGUGUGUGUGUGCAUACAGGUGAGCGUGUGCCUUCUCCCUUUUUUCUCCUACUUAUUUUGCCUUUUCGUCUUUUUCCGGUAGUACUGGAACCCCUGGCCUUCUUUUUCGUUUCCUUAUUGCCCUCCAUCAUACUCCCUUUCUUUGGCCGCUUUUCGCCGCUGUGCCGACACUGGAGCGUUUUGUUGUCGUUGUUGCUUGCGUUGUUGCACUUGUCGUUUCUCAUGUCUUUUCUUUUGAUUGCUCGUUCACCCUCCCACCUCCCCCAUCGCCCUCUUCGGUUGAUGUCGUUGUGAAGCAUCAGUGGCCCCCAUUACACGCGUUGUUGCAGAUGCUUAUGCGCGUGCAUGGCACGUCUCUCGGUGGGUGUGUGGAUGUUUAUGCACGCGUCUUGGAGACCUUCAGGGCUAUCUACGGGCACCAGACCUUCUUCUACUCCACGUGCACUUCGCCUACGUGUGUAUUUUCUUUUCGCUUCUCUGACCCAUGCCUUUUUUCUGCUCGUCUGCACCGCACCUCCCCUCACCUCCCUUGGCACGUCCGCGGUGCUGAGAAGUACGGUGGUUGCUUGGUUUCUUUUUUAUUGUUGCUUCGUCGUCGUCGUGUUCUCGCUUUGGCUCUCUCCUUUCCCGCGGGUUCACGGAGAAGCUGCCCGACCUCGCAGAAGCAGAAACGCUCCAUCACUGGAGCGAUACUAUGCCCGCAGUGGAAAAACGAUGUAAACAAGCACACACACACACACACACACACACACACACACACACACCGAUUGAAACUCUUUCUUGCGUUCGUACGAAAAGAAGUGACAAAAAAAGGGAUAGACGCUCACAUCCAACCCCACCACGCGCCGUUGCGCCGUUUGACCAUCUUCGACGCUCUCAAUGCGUAACUGUGAGGACGCUUCUCCUCCCAACCCACCCCUGCUCUUUUAUAAUCUCGACUCCCCUCUUCCUUCU
rnacentral:misc_RNA from 1 species